rnacentral:lncRNA from 1 species
ACUAUAGUCUUGUUUUUGAUCUUAGGGUGUUCAAAUUAAUGAUCCACACCGUUAAAUAUGAUCUAGGGUAUAUGAAGUUCUUAGAAAUAAAAUUUUAGAUUUUUUCGACAUCGUUUACUUAGUAAAUAAAUUUUGUCAAAAUGGACGAUGAAAAUUGAAUAAUCUUUAAAAUUUGAACGUAGGACUUUUAAAUUCAAGAUCAAGAAUGUUAACCUUAAUCUAGAUAGUUUAAAGUAUUUUCUAUCAAAAUUUGAAGAAAUUUAGAUUCUUCUACACCAUUAAACUCCAAACUCACUAUAGUAGCCUUUGAAAAUUGACAAUUU